rnacentral:lncRNA from 1 species
CUCUUCUUAAUUCAAGAAAAUCAUAUGCACACACCGUUAUUAAGCAUAAAAAAUGAAUGGACUAAAAUUUGCCUAAUUCACCUAAAACAGUUAUUAUGAUAAUAAAAAUACCUAAUCUGAACAUCUAACUUUUACGCAUAUAGAAAAUAAAAUGAAAAUGAAUAACGGAAAUAGAAUACCUAUGGAAUUGUGAGGAAGAAUUACACUUGACCUAGCCAGCCAUGUGAGCACAUCUCGAUCUUGUGGGUUCACCAUGAACUCCUUAUGAGAGGGAAUCAUGAAGUCGGUUCACAUAAUAACGGCGAUGCGGUN